CAUGUAGUUAGCCGGGGCUUUCUCGUGAGGUACCGUCACCGCGCCGCCCUCUUCGAACGGCACUCCUUCGUCCCUCACAACAGAGCUUUACGACCCGAAGGCCUUCUUCGCUCACGCGGCGUCGCUCCGUCAGGCUUUCGCCCAUUGCGGAAGAUUCCCUACUGCUGCCUCCCGUAGGAGUCUGGGCCGUGUCUCAGUCCCAGUGUGGCCGGUCACCCUCUCAGGCCGGCUACGCAUCGUCGCCUUGGUGAGCCGUUACCUCACCAACUAGCUAAUGCGCCGCGGGCCCAUCCGCAAGUGACAGCCCAAAGGCCGCCUUUCAACCGAAGACCAUGCGGUCUUCGGUGUUAUCCGGUAUUAGCUCCGGUUUCCCGGAGUUAUCCCGGUCUUGCGGGCAGGUUGCCCACGUGUUACUCACCCGUCCGCCGCUGACCGAAUCAAGGCAAGCCCCAAUCCGGUCCGCUCGACUUGCAUGUAUUAGGCACGCCGCCAGCGUUCGUCCUGACGCCAGGACUACAAACUCU
rnacentral:rRNA from 1 species